GAACUGGGUGCGAACCCCAGGCUGACCCGCAACCGUAACUGCCUCGCAGGAGCCGGACCA
rnacentral:ncRNA from 13 species